rnacentral:rRNA from 1 species
CCUACGGGUGGCAGCAGUGAGGAAUAUUGGUCAAUGGGCGAGAGCCUGAACCAGCCAAGUCGCGUGAGGGAGUACUGCCCUAUGGGUUGUAAACCUCUUUUGUCGGGGAGCAAAAGCCGGACGUGUCCGGCUGUGAGAGUACCCGAAGAAAAAGCAUCGGCUAACUCCGUGCCAGCAGCCGCGGUAAUACGGAGGAUGCGAGCGGUAUCCGGAUUUAUUGGGUUUAAAGGGUGCGCAGGCGGAUUUUUAAGUCAGCGGUAAAAUCGUGGGGCUCAACCCCAUCCAGCCGUUGAAACUGGGGAUCUAGAGUGUGCGAGAGGUAUGCGGAAUGCGUGGUGUAGCGGUGAAAUGCAUAGAUAUCACGCAGAACCCCGAUUGCGAAGGCAGCAUACCGGUGCACAACUGACGCUCAGGCACGAAAGCGUGGGUAUCGAACAGGAUUAGAUACCCGUGUAGUC